AUGCAGAUACCGCCACAUACUACUGUGCUCGGAGAGCACACUGACACAGCCUCAGUUUUCAGCUGUACAGUCCAGCUACAGCAGUCUGGAGUUGAGCUGGUGAAGCCUGAGUCUUCAGUGAAACUGUCCUGCAAGGCUUCUGGCUACACUUUCGCUGAAUAUGAUAUUGAGUGGGUAAAGCAGAGGCCUGAACAUGGCCUGGAAUGGAUUGGAGAUAUUGAUCCUGGAAAUGGUGAUACUGCCUACAAUGAGAAGUUUGAGGGCAAGGCCACAAUGACUGUAGAUACAUCCUCCAACACAGCCUACAUGGAACUCAGCAGAUUGACAUCUGACGACUCUGCAGUCUAUUACUGUGCAGUGUUGUAA